rnacentral:lncRNA from 1 species
GCCCGCCGCCCGCCGCAUCCUGGGUGACUACUGGCUGAGUCCGCAGCGCCACGGCCCACCCAGCGCCGCCUAGGGGCUGGCCGUCGGCGCGCAGGAUUGAGCUGCUGCCUGGGGCCACCGGCCCGGCCGAUGUGCAGUCGCCGAGCUGGCCCGCUGGCCACGGCGCGCGCCCGCACCUCACGUGAUUGGAAGCACCGAUGGCAGAAUAUUAACUACCAGUUCCAGAGCAAGAGGAAGAGACACCUGGUUUUCCUGCGCCCGUGAGAGCCGGGAUUUGGGGACACAGGCUUCAGGCUUUUUGCAUGAUGAUCCCGAAGCAGACUUGCACCAUGCCAAGGAUGAGCUGGAAGGAGUGCUGAACAAUUCAGUGCCCCCUGUCUUCAGAUUAUCUGCCUUAUCUCCCUCUUGGGGUCUCUGAGAUCCUGCCCUUCACACUCCAAAUAAAUGAGCUUCUGCCUCUCUGGGCCUCUCUCUGCUUUAUUGAGGGGAUAUUCUGUGUACCGAGGGACACACUGAGUUGACUGAACCCAUGGGCUGGGGAGUGUCCACCAUCAUGCCUUGAUGCUGCCCCCACACCCAUCGACCCAUGAAUCCCCACUGCUGUGCCAUAGAAAGAAAGGCAGAGACAUGCAGAG